CCUACGGGAGGCUGCAGUGGGGAAUAUUGGACAAUGGGCGAAAGCCUGAUCCAGCCAUGCCGCGUGUGUGAAGAAGGUCUUCGGAUUGUAAAGCACUUUAAGUUGGGAGGAAGGGCUGUCGGCUAAUACCCUGCAGUUUUGACGUUACCAACAGAAUAAGCACCGGCUAACUUCGUGCCAGCAGCCGCGGUAAUACGAAGGGUGCAAGCGUUAAUCGGAAUUACUGGGCGUAAAGCGCGCGUAGGUGGUUCAGCAAGUUGGAUGUGAAAGCCCCG
rnacentral:rRNA from 1 species